CACGCUGUAAACGAUGGGCACUUGUUGUUGGAGGUAUUGACCCCUUCAGUGACGAAGCUAACGCGUUAAGUGCCCCGCCUGGGGAGUACGGUCGCAAGAUUAAAACUCAAAGAAAUUGACGGGGGCCCGCACAAGCGGUGGAGUAUGUGGUUUAAUUCGAUGCAACGCGAAAAACCUUACCUGGGCUUGACAUGAACUGGAAGGAUGCCAGAAAUGGCUCCGCUCGCAAGAGUCGGUUCACAGGUGC
rnacentral:rRNA from 1 species